CGGCAGGCUUAACACAUGCAAGUCGAGGGGUAACAGGGGGUGCUUGCACUCCGCUGACGACCGGCGCACGGGUGCGUAACGCGUAUGCAACCUACCUUUUACAGGGGGAUAGUCAAGAGAAAUUUUGAAUAAUACCCCAUACGAUCCCAAGUACACCUGUACUUAGGAGGAAAGUUCCGGCGGUAAAAGAUGGGCAUGCGUCCUAUUAGUUAGUUGGUGAGGUAACGGCUCACCAAGGCGACGAUAGGUAGGGGUCCUGAGAGGGAGAUCCCCCACACUGGUACUGAGACACGGACCAGACUCCUACGGGAGGCAGCAGUGAGGAAUAUUGGACAAUGGAGGCAACUCUGAUCCAGCCAUGCCGCGUGCAGGAAGACGGCCCUAUGGGUUGUAAACUGCUUUUAUACAGGAAGAAACGUAGGUACGUGUACCUAUUUGACGGUACUGUAUGAAUAAGGAUCGGCUAA
rnacentral:rRNA from 1 species